UUACAUCAGACCGGUCUUUGUAUUCCGCUCGGACCAAGACUCCCGGAAGCGAACUGUUGAGGAGAUCAAGAGGAGAGCGCGCUCUGGAGGGGAGUGGCCUCAGAUGAUGAUAUUUCCAGAGGGGACGUGCACCAACAGGUCGAGCAUCAUCUUGUUCAAGGCGGGGGCCUUCAUCCCAGGACUCCCAGUGCAACCGGUGAGUCUUGCGUUACCAAAACAAACUGGUAAACAUCUUUAACAGGAACUUUUGG